rnacentral:lncRNA from 1 species
CUAAAGCCACACAGUGAUCAGGACAAAGCUACUGGGAUGGGGGACACAACAGUGAGAAACAUACAUAGUGAGCUUUUCUAUGAGAAAAGCUCAGCUCAGUGAAGGGCUUGGGUGAGGCACCUGUUCUUUUUGGAUCUCAGUCUACUCUUCUCUAAACCCUCCCUGUCUUGUGGAGACGCUGGGGUCAAAAGCAAGAGAAUGCCUGUGAAAGUAGUCUACAAUGAGAGUCAGGAACAGUGUUAAUUAUGAGAGAAACUCGACUCUCUUGACAAGGCUACCUCCUACCAAUGGUUUCAGACACAGACCAGAUGCUGGCCUUUGAGGCAGAUCUGAGGAACUCGGCCUUGGCCGGCUGCCCCACUCACCGGACGUCCUUCUGGCUGCCGUGCUUGAUGGUCAUGUCGAUAUAGACCGACCAGACAUCUGUGCGCUUUGGGUAGGUGCUCAGCGUGUUCUCAAAAAUGGCUUUGGCCCGCUCUGCAUCCCCCAGCUGAAACUCAAGCUGGGCAAACUUGGCAAUGACAUCCACAUCUGCAGGGAGAGGACUGCUCAGAGACCCAACAAGCAGACAGCCCCCUCACCACAACACAGUGUUCCGCAGGGUCAGCGUGCACCUGACUCCCUGCUCUUGGGUCCCAAGACUCAGGUUGUGACAAGAGGGACAAAGACCCAAAAGGAAGGUGGGGUGGGUUUGGGGCCAAAUACACAGAUGGGCACUGCAGACACACCACUCUCUGGGCACAGAAGAGGUGGGGGAUCCCAGGGGCAACAGAACUAGUACUAACUGCGUUUUGUUCCUCCAUCUUUUGGAGCCUGGCAUUUGAAAUUUAACAUGCACUGUUAUGCUGAGGGGCAGAGAAUCGACAGGCAGCAAGAGGAAAGCCCUCACAAGGCUCUCCUGACUUAGAAGAAGCA